GUCUAUGGCCAUACCAGCCUGAACGUGCCUAAUCUCGUCUGAUCUCAGAUGCUAAGCAGGUUUGGGCUUGGUUAGUACUUGGAUGGGAGGAGGGAACCUUCCUCCCCCUCACUGGGUAGAGGGAGCAAUUGAAU
rnacentral:rRNA from 1 species